UACGUAGGGGGCUAGCGUUGUCCGGAUUUAUUGGGCGUAAAGAGCGUGUAGGCGGCCAGAUAGGUCUGCUGUGAAAACUCGAGGCUCAACCUCGAGCUGUCGGCGGAAGCCAUCCGGCUAGAGUCCGGAAGAGGAGAGUGGAAUUCCCGGUGUAGCGGUGAAAUGCGCAGAUAUCGGGAAGAACACCUGUGGCGAAGGCGGCUCUCUGGGACGGUACUGACGCUGAGACGCGAAAGCGUGGGGAGCGAACAGG
rnacentral:rRNA from 1 species